ACAUUGGUGGUUCAGUGGUAGAAUUCUCGUCUCCCAUGUGGGAGACCUGGGUUCAAUUCCCAGCCAAUGCA